rnacentral:tRNA from 1 species
UCCCUGGUGGCUCCAAAGGUAAAGAACCUGCCUGCAAUGCAGGAGACCCAGGUUCGAUCCCUGGGUCGGGAA